UACGUAGGUGGCAAGCGUUGUCUGGAUUUACUGGGCGUAAAGAGCGCGCAGGCGGUCAGAUAAGUCGAAUGUGAAAGCCCCCGGCUCAACUGGGGAGGGUCAUUCGAUACUGUUCGACUCGAAGGCAGGAGAGGGAAGCGGAAUUCCCGGUGUAGUGGUGAAAUGCGUAGAUAUCGGGAGGAACACCAGUGGCGAAGGCGGCUUCCUGGCCUGUUCUUGACGCUGAGGCGCGAAAGCUAGGGGAGCAAACGGG
rnacentral:rRNA from 1 species